rnacentral:rRNA from 1 species
UGGGGAAUUUUGGACAAUGGGCGAAAGCCUGAUCCAGCAAUGCCGCGUGUGUGAAGAAGGCCUUCGGGUUGUAAAGCACUUUUGUCCGGAAAGAAAUCCUUGGCUCUAAUACAGUCGGGGGAUGACGGUACCGGAAGAAUAAGCACCGGCUAACUACGUGCCAGCAGCCGCGGUAAUACGUAGGGUGCAAGCGUUAAUCGGAAUUACUGGGCGUAAAGCGUGCGCAGGCGGUUUGCUAAGACCGAUGUGAAAUCCCCGGGCUCAACCUGGGAACUGCAUUGGUGACUGGCAGGCUAGAGUAUGGCAGAGGGGGGUAGAAUUCCACGUGUAGCAGUGAAAUGCGUAGAGAUGUGGAGGAAUACCGAUGGCGAAGGCAGCCCCCUGGGCCAAUACUGACGCUCAUGCACGAAAGCGUGGGGAGCAAACAGGAUUNGAUACCCUGGUAGUCCACGCCCUAAACGAUGUCAACUAGUUGUUGGGGAUUCAUUUCCUUAGUAACGUAGCUAACGCGUGAAGUUGACCGCCUGGGGAGUACGGUCGCAA